rnacentral:tRNA from 1 species
GCCCGGGUGGCGGAACAGGUAGACGCAAGGGACUUAAAAUCCCUCGAAAGGUGACUUUCGUGCCGGUUCGAUUCCGGCCCCGGGCA